rnacentral:lncRNA from 1 species
AUGUCACUGCCAUUGUCACCUCUAGCCAGGGUUCCAUCUGAGAUCACAAACCCUCCACAGCCCUUGGGACCUCCUGCUCCCUUUUCAGACAGGCAGGUCUCUGUGAUGUCCCGGAGAGAGGGGGACUCCAGAGAAAGACUGGCAGGAGACUCCUGGAGCAAUAAGAGUGGCAGCCAGAAUCCAGAGGAGGAGAGGACCCACAGACACACACAGAGAAUAUGGCGAUGUGUUGAAGGGGGCAGAGACUGGAGUGAUGCAGCCACCAGCCAAGGAAGGAUAACAAUUGCUUCAACCACCAGAAGCCAAGAAGAGACCCCAAAGGACCCUGCUCUUGAGCCUUGGGAGAGAGCAGGCCCUGUAACACCUUCACUUCCGCCUUCCCGCCUCCAGACCUGUGACAGGAUGCAUUCCUGUGUUUCACACUGCAAGGUGGAGUCUCUCUCUCUCUGCUCCCCUGUAUCCAGGCUGUUCACGCGACUUAUUCUAAUAGACUGUUCUAGAAGCUUCUGUUUUUGCUGACUUGGAAUGCUUCUCCAAUGCGUCUACAUGCGGAAACUGUUCUUACCUACUAGAAGAUGAGAGGCCAUGUGAAGGAGAACCGAGGCCGUCUAGGCAGUGCCAACUACCACACCAGUGCUGCUGUAUUCCCUCCAGCACAGCUGGCCCUCCUGCCAACCAUGAGCCAUGAGUAAGGCCAGAUGCAGUCAGCAGAGAAACCACCCACAGAAUUGUGAAAAAUCAUACUGGGCUGUUUGAAGUUAUGAUGUUAGGAGGGCUGCUUUGCACAGCAAAGCCUCACCAACACAGCGUAAGAAGCCACCAGGAUUUCCACUCUGGUGUCCCACAUCCUGGAGGGGGACCUCUCAGAGGCAGAGACUGACCGUGGAGCUGGUGAGGACAUAGCUCUUGAGUGUGGGGACUUCUGGAAGUGGAGGUACCGACAGACACCAAAGACCCUGCGGGAUCAUUCGUGUGCACAGGUCUGUCCCAGAGUGAGUCUCAGGACAGUGGUCUAAGGUGACAGUUUAGCAUGACAACUGCUACCCCCUCCAAUGUGACAGUCACUAUGCUAGGUGUUGGGAUGUACGGUGAACUAACAGACCUUGUCUCCAAUCUCAUGGAGCUUAGACUGUAGGGAAUUGGGCAGAAAGACAAAAGUAAACCAAGUAAGUACACAUCAUGAAAGAACCCAGUUGGAAGACUGAAGGGAAAAAAAUGGGGCAGAAUUACUUUAGGUCAUGGGGUCAGGAGAGUUCUCCAAGAAGGCAAUGUUUACUCUAGGUCCACAAGAAUGAGACGCGCAGUCAUAGGUAAAAGGACACAAAUGAGCGAGGCCCUGAGGAGGCUCAGAGCCUGGGGGUCCUGUGGGGGGCUGCAGCAGGGAGAAAGAAGAGGGAAGUGGCUGCAGCAGGGAGAGUUGGUUGGCAUCUUCUCCUAGUGUGUUGGAAAAGCAGGAAGAAGAGCGGACCUGAAGAGUCCCUUAAGCUUAUUUAGAUUUUAAUAGAUAAUCUCUGCUGUGUGAACAAUAGAUGAAAGAGGGGUAAGAAGCCAGGCAGGGUAACACACACUUGUAAUGCCAGCACUCUGAGAGGCUGGUGCAGGAGGAGUACAGGUUCGAUCCCAGCCUGGGCAGCUUAGUGAGACUCUGUCUCAAAAUUUAAAAAUAAAAAAAUAAGAAAAAGAGGCGGGAUGUAAUUCAGUGCAAAGACUCUGGGUUCAAUCCCCAGUCCUGCACAAAUAGACACUUAGCUAGCUAGACAGACAGACAGGCAGGGAGAGAUAACAGAUGCAAAAUGGAAGGAGAGACAUUCAUGAAGAUAUCUCUGCAGUUGUCCAGGGCAGAGGUUGGUGGUUACAGCAGGGCAGUGGCAUGACUGAGAAAUGCAUGUAUUUGAGGUGUGUUUUGGAAGAAUUCAUAGGAUUUAGAGACUGGACUGGGGGUGGAAAGAAGUGUCAGGUGGUAGCUUGAUCUCUCCCAGAAGUGAACCACGAGACGCGGAUCUGAGUGGCUGAGGUCGUCUAUGUGAGAAGGGACCUGAGGAAGCCCAGGGAGAGUGUAGUGAAGGGGGACAGGAACGGAAGCUAGGAGGGGUGCUGGUAAGAGAAGGUUGCCUCUGUGGCAUCUGGGGCUCAGCCCACCAGGAGCUUAGGGUGACACCCCCCCCACACACUGCUUGGGAGAGGCAGGGGAGCUGGGUGCUUCACUCCAGACCUGCUACUCUGGGAGGGAUGUCCCACAGCCUUGGUGCCCCGCUGCCCCUGCCCACAAAAGAGGGGGUGGACUGGACUCCAGGAACCAGGAAACAUCAUGGCGAAAGGCAGGCGCUGCGGCUGGAAGCCAGACCAGGGAUGUGGAAGCAAGACAGGUGGGUGGGUGUGUCACCAACACUGCCUGCCACCACCAGCAAUGACUCGUGUGUUCCAAGUUUGAGCAAGUGGAAGCUUUAGGUUCACGGAGUCCUUGAACACUGUCAGACUCGUGGUUCAUUGCUGUCUCUUCCCAGCUUCUGUAACUCGCUCUUCCUCUAUUAUAGACCUGCCUCUUCCAGACCCUAAGAUCCCGUGAUUUCUGAUGCCCUACACCUGCUCCUCUCCCAGCCCAUGGCUCCACUGUCCACCCAACUUCUUAGAUCUGGGGUUGGUCAUCCAUAAGAGUCUUCUCCUUCCCAUACCCCAACACUGGAUUCUAUUAACUUGGCCUCUAAAGUAUCUGGAUUUUUUUUUUUUUUUUUUUUUUUGGUACCGGAGAUCGAACUUGGGACCUUGCACUUGCGAGGCAGGUGGCGGAAUCACUGAGCUAAAUCCCCGGCUAAAGUAUCUGGAUUUAACUCCCAUCACCAUCUAAGUCACCACCACCUCUCGAAAGGAUGGCAGCCGCCCUUAAUCCCCCACUCUGACUCGGCCCUUGGCCUCUGCCCUCUGGUUUAAAUGUAGUUUCUCUUUACCCAAACUUGUGAUGAAAAGUGACUGCCCCUGGGUGUUGGGUAGUGGAGCUUUUGAGUGGUGACUGGGUAGUUAAGAAGGAUGAAUGUGGAGGCUGAGGCAGAAAAAUCACAAAUUUGAGCCUGUCUUGGGCAACAGAGUGACUUAGUGAGACCUUGUUUCAAAAUAAAAAUACAAAUUAAAAAAAGGGCAGGGAAUUAGCUCAAUGCAAAGACCCUCGUUCCGAUUCCCAGUAGAGGAAAACAAAAAAAAGUAGAGGGGGAGAAAGAAAGAAACAAAACAACCAGCCCUUUCUUGGGGGAGUGAAUUCUCGCUCUCUUGAGACUGGAUUAGUUACCUCCAGCGUGGGUUGACAGCAAAUCAAGUCAGGCUACACCGAUUUUCCUCCUCUCACAUGCACCCGCCUGCUCUCGAGCUUUCUGCCGUGAGUUCAAA